rnacentral:pre_miRNA from 14 species
AUCCAAGGUCCAUUCUCCUAAAAUAAAUAUAGGAAACACUUGUAUGUGAAAGACCCCUGGAGCGGGGAGACCCUCACUCAAGUCUCGGGAUGAUGCGACCCCCCAAGAACUCACGUGAGACC